rnacentral:lncRNA from 1 species
GGUGAGAAUGGUUCCUGGGGUGCACUGGAAAACAUAAUUCUCUGACUGCCAUGAGCGUUCCUGUUCAAGCAUGGAGACCAAUGCUUGAGACUCAAACCCUACUCUUAAAAAACUUGGCUUGAUGUGUGGAAUAGGGAAAUCUACCUUCUUGUACUCAAAUUGCCCUAUGCGAGCCAUCUUCUUCCUUUUUGCCUCCUCCGCUAUCCUUGCCUUGUCGGUUUAGGUUGGGUUAUAGCCUAGACCGA